CAUUAAGUGACUGAAAGUCAGUAAUGAUCUCUUAAAUCAAUCUAUAGUAAUUUACGAGUACUCUUAAUGA
rnacentral:tRNA from 1 species